CAUAGCUCUGUGGUGAAGAACACAUAAGAUUGCAAAUCUUAAGACGCAGACUAACCUCUGCCGGGGCUUU
rnacentral:tRNA from 5 species